UGCCUCGCCUACACCCCAUACAUUAAAUAAUAUUUCCCAUUCCAUGCCAUGCCCAGACCCAUGAGUUCAUGAAAUAAUAAAUGAUGUGGUGUCAAGUUGGAUCUAUCCCCUGAAAUUCAGCACUUUAAUAUAAAACUCACAUAUCUAGUUAAUUAUUUGCUAUGACACUCUGAUCAACUUGGACUUGUGUGAUACAUUAUAUAUGUUUCUUAUCAGAUUUAAUGAAUGAAGUUUUGGUUCAUUUUAAGGCUACAAAAGUAUCAUCAGGUGCAUUCUAACCAUUGGUAUUUUUCCUGGCAACAUUUCUAUUCUAGUCUGUGAUAAAUUAUAAAUUUAAAAAAAUGUUUGUAAUGUUUCAGUUAUUAACAAGUAGAACCAUGCCAACCAGUUCUGAUGAUGUACCAGAAUGGCUCAAGGAUCAUACUUAUAGUACUUAUACUAUUUCUACUCUCUGGGCAGACAUUAAUAAUAUUGGCAUCCAUUCAAUAUUUAUUUUAUGUUUGGAAAUGCAAGAAAAAGGCAUGCAUUCCUGACAAGUCAAUGAUUGGUUGCACCUCUUAAAGAUAACUUUCUGUUAUGAGAAAAGAUGAGAUUCUUGGACUCCUGCAUAGCACCACCAGAAAGGAAAAUCCCAUCAUGUUGCAAAAUAAAAGUCUUGGACCAAUUUUAAUUUAAGAUAUAUAUAUUAUGCUGUAAGCUCUAUACAUAUUUAUGUAUAUCCUGUCAUUCAGCCAACAGGUUUGGAUUUAGUAUUUCUUUAAAUCUGUUUGAUAUUGUACUUGAAAACUAUUAAUCUGAGCCCCAUUAAAACAAUAGGGAGUGCAGUGAAUGAGUGGUAAAGCACUUGGCUUCUGAACUGAGGGUUCCUGGGUUCGAUUAAGACUGGGAUUUUCAAUUUCAGAAUUCAAAAGGCUAGGGAUACAUGGCAAUAGUAAGGAAUAAGUAAAGGCAGUUUGGGGAUCCAUGGCUGAAUGGUUAAGUCAUGGGUUUGAAUCUCUGUGAAGACUCAGAUUUAAAUUUUUUAGAUUUUUGGGUGCCCCUGAGUCCACCUAACUCUAAUGGGUAGCUGACUUUUGUUUUGGAAAGUAAAGAUGGUUGGUUGUUGUGCUGGGUACAUGACACCCUCGCUAACCAUGGGGCACAGAAACUGAUAAACUUUAUAUCAUCUGCCCCAUAGAUUGCAAGAUAUGUAAGGGAAAUUUUACUUUUUUAAAAUUAAAAUAAGAAUCUAUCAAAAGUAAACAUAUAAAAUAUGGUGCAUUCUCCUUAAAACUAAAACCUGGUGCGAAGGUUUAAAAUGUUGGCAAAAAAAAGCAACAUCAUAUAUUCUUAAUUCCCUUUGCAAAACUUACUGAGAAGAACAUGCAUGUUGUUGCCUCAUAAGUUUCUUGACAGAGGAAAUCUUGUUUAUAUUAGAUUUGAAUUAAGCAAAUUAAGAAAAAAAUUAUAAUUAUUUUUUCAAAUGGUUGUAUCUAAACCUUAUGAAUUAUUUUUCAGUUAUAAGUAUAUUGAGAUUAAUGGAUAAUCAUGAAUUGUUAAAUAAUUGCUGCUAUCAUUCCAUUGACUAAAGAACCAUAAUUAUUUUUUUUUAAAUUAAUUUCAAAAUGAUUUUUUUCAAGCAUAGAGUUCACAUAGAUCUUGAGUGAAAGUUUUUUUUUUAUUUGACUAAUGCUUUAAUUUUAUUGUAUCAUAUUAGUUGUUAAUUUUUAUUACCCAGAAUAUUUAAAAAAUGAGUACACUAUUUUCAUGUAAUAAUGUGUUACUUGGUAUUCACACAAUGCUAAAAAUACACUAUAAUCUUUAGGCCAUACAGAUUUGUAUAAAUUAACUUGUUUAAAUACAUUGUAAAUGUAUAUUGUUUGGAUAAGAAUAAAGUUUUUCUGUAGACAAUUAUUGUUCAAGAUUUGUUGAUGCUCCUGCUUAAUCAAUUAUAUAUACAGGUCAUUAGUUUUAACACGUCUGAUAAUAAAUGACAGUACAAGUUAGUGAAUGAAAAUUUGUCAUUAUUUCAGCUGCUUUAGGCCUACAUCAAUGUGAGGUACCAGUACUUUGAUUGUGUCAUAUAUCAAUUUAAAGCAACAUUUUGAAAUGAAUAGUCUGUAGAAUUGACAGUAAAUACAUUUAAGUGAUGGGCUGUGAUCUGCGUGAAUUGAGAGCUGAUCAUGUAUUGAAUUUGUGUUUUUGAUCUUUACUUCAAGUAAAUGUUAAUGAGCAAUUAAUUUUCAAUGAAUAAUUAAUUUAAAAAUA